UACGUAGGUGACAAGCGUUGUCCGGAUUUACUGGGCGUAAAGAGCGCGCAGGCGGUCGUUCAAGUCGAGUGUGAAAGCCCCCGGCUCAACUGGGGAGGGUCACUCGAUACUGAUCGACUCGAAGGCAGGAGAGGGAAGUGGAAUUCCCGGUGUAGUGGUGAAAUGCGUAGAUAUCAGGAGGAACACCGGUGGCGAAGGCGGGUCUCUGGGCCGAUACUGACGCUGAGGAGCGAAAGCGUGGGGAGCGAACAGG
rnacentral:rRNA from 1 species